AGUUGCAGGGUAUAGACCCGAAACCCGGUGAUCUAGCCAUGGGCAGGUUGAAGGUUGGGUAACACUAACUGGAGGACCGAACCGACUAAUGUUGAAAAAUUAGCGGAUGACUUGUGGCUGGGGGUGAAAGGCCAAUCAAACCGGGAGAUAGCUGGUUCUCCCCGAAAGCUAUUUAGGUAGCGCCUCGUGAAUUCAUCUCCGGGGGUAGAGCACUGUUUCGGCAAGGGGGUCAUCCCGACUUACCAACCCGAUGCAAACUGCGAAUACCGGAGAAUGUUAUCACGGGAGACACACGGCGGGUGCUAACGUCCGUCGUGAAGAGGGAAACAACCCAGACCGCCAGCUAAGGUCCCAAAGUCAUGGUUAAGUGGGAAACGAUGUGGGAAGGCCCAGACAGCCAGGAUGUUGGCUUAGAAGCAGCCAUCAUUUAAAGAAAGCGUAAUAGCUCACUGGUCGAGUCGGCCUGCGCGGAAGAUGUAACGGGGCUAAACCAUGCACCGAAGCUGCGGCAGCGACGCUGAUGCGUUGUUGGGUAGGGGAGCGUUCUGUAAGCCUGCGAAGGUGUGCUGUGAGGCAUGCUGGAGGUAUCAGAAGUGCGAAUGCUGACAUAAGUAACGAUAAAGCGGGUGAAAAGCCCGCUCGCCGGAAGACCAAGGGUUCCUGUCCAACGUUAAUCGGGGCAGGGUGAGUCGACCCCUAAGGCGAGGCCGAAAGGCGUAGUCGAUGGGAAACAGGUUAAUAUUCCUGUACUUGGUGUUACUGCGAAGGGGGGACGGAGAAGGCUAUGUUGGCCGGGCGACGGUUGUCCCGGUUUAAGCGUGUAGGCUGGUUUUCCAGGCAAAUCCGGAAAAUCAAGGCUGAGGCGUGAUGACGAGGCACUACGGUGCUGAAGCAACAAAUGCCCUGCUUCCAGGAAAAGCCUCUAAGCAUCAGGUAACAUCAAAUCGUACCCCAAACCGACACAGGUGGUCAGGUAGAGAAUACCAAGGCGCUUGAGAGAACUCGGGUGAAGGAACUAGGCAAAAUGGUGCCGUAACUUCGGGAGAA
rnacentral:rRNA from 1 species